rfam:Fukomys damarensis contig90630, whole genome shotgun sequence.
UCAACGGCUCUUUUCAGAGCCACCCAAGUGUGUCAUUCGAAAGAGUU